UCCCAUUCAGCACGGGCAGUCCUGCCAGAGUGCCCCCUUUCGGGGUUGCAACUGACAGCAAGGGUUUCGCUCGUUACAGCACUUAAGCUAACAUCUCACGACACGAGCUGACGACAGCCAUGCAACACCUGAUGAAGGCUCCCCUUUCGGGGUCGUUACCGUUUCCGGUUCCUACCACCUCCACUUCAAGCCCGGGUAAGGUUCUUCGCGUUGCAUCGAAUUGAACCACAUGCUCCACCGCUUGUGCGAGCCCCCGUCAAUUCCUUUGAGUUUUAACCUUGCGGCCGUACUCCCCAGGCGGGACACUUAACGCGUUAGCUGCAACAGAGAAGGGUAUAAUCCCCCCUCCAUUCAGUGUCCAUCGUUUACGGCUGGGACUAC
rnacentral:misc_RNA from 1 species